rnacentral:rRNA from 1 species
AGCGUAGACAGAGUGGCAAGUCUGAUGUGAAAACCCAGGGCUCAACCCCGGGACUGCAUUGGAAACUGUCAAUCUAGAGUACCGGAGAGGUAAGCGGAAUUCCUAGUGUAGCGGUGAAAUGCGUAGAUAUUAGGAGGAACAUCAGUGGCGAAGGCGGCUUACUGGACGGCAACUGACGUUGAGGGGGCUCGAAAGCGUGGGGAGCAAACA